CGAAGGUGGAUUGCAGCAGCGACGACUUGAUUCCCAAUCUGGAAAAGAAGAGCGGACUCGAGUGUGUGCACUUGGAUUUGGACACAUGAUCGAAAGUCGGGAACGAACCCGAAUGUGGACGAGCACUCCAAUUUCCAGUGUGCAGGUUUCGAGCAUGUGGUCGGGAAGCGUACAGGGGAGGCACAUGACCCGGCUUGGCGCAUUUCUCUUUAGCUUUAUCAAGAGAUGGUUUUGGUCCCUUAUCGGAUUUUGAAGUAACUUACCUAUUUACUUCUUAUUUAAUUGUUUGU